CCUACGAGGGGCAGCAGUGGGGAAUAUUGCACAAUGGGCGAAAGCCUGAUGCAGCAACGCCGCGUGAAGGAAGAAGGGUUUCGGCUCGUAAACUUCUCUCAACAGGGACGAAAGAAAUGACGGUACCUGAAUAAGAAGCCCCGGCUAACUACGUGCCAACAGCCGCGGUAAUACGUAGGGGGCAAGCGUUAUCCGGAUUUACUGGGUGUAAAGGGAGCGUAAACGGCAGUGCAAG
rnacentral:rRNA from 1 species